GCUUGUUCUGGUGAGUUCCUGUUCUCUGUUUUCUAAAAUUGCUUUGGGUUCAGAACUUUAAAGGAUUAAAGUUAGAUCUGCCAGGCUUUGAUCGCAAGACAAAGAAAAGAAAAGAAAUGUCAGCCAUAGGACAAGAGCAUAUAAUCAACCUAAUCAAAAUGUUCAACAGUUAUGCUUUAAAAGACGGAGACCAGUUUAAGAUUAUCAAAAAAGAUGUGAAGGCUAUGAUGCAGACAGAAUUCCCUGCCUUCUUUACUGGCGCUAAUAAAAAGGACAUGGACCAGAUUGUGUCUUCCCUGGACCUCGAUGAGGACGGUAAAAUGGACUUCCCAGAAUUUAUCAUUAUGAUCAGUUCAGUGUGUAUCUUGACGUUCUCAUAUAUCGAAAGCUGAAUGCUUCAACGAGGGACGAGUGCUCUAAGUGAAAAUCUGCCUUUUUACAUUUAAUCAAUAAACUUUUCUGAACACCAAUUACAUAGUAACAGUGUUCAUCAUCUUAUAGAUGUUAAGGUUUUGGUUGUAACUUAAAUCACCGCAACUUGUAAUGUUGUUAAAAGAGGCACCACUGAUGAAAACAAUUCCUCAGUGAUUAUUUUUGUUUUGUCAAGAAGACAUCCUCUCAAUAAAGAUGUUAUCCUGUUUUCCCGGA